UACGUAGGCAGCAAGCGUUGUUCGGAGUUACUGGGCGUAAAGGGUGUGUAGGCGGUCUUCUAAGUUUGGUGUGAAAUCUCCCGGCUCAACUGGGAGGGUGCGCCGAAAACUGGGAGGCUAGAGUGCGGGAUGGGAGAGUGGAAUUCCUGGUGUAGAGGUGAAAUUCGUAGAUAUUCGCAAGAACACCAGUGGCGAAGGCGGCUCACUGGUCCGGUACUGACGCUGAGGUGCGAAAGCGUGGGGAUCAAACAGG
rnacentral:rRNA from 1 species